rnacentral:rRNA from 1 species
UAUUAAUAUUAAUAUUAUUUUAUUUAUUUUUAGUCAAUUCAUUGUAAGAAAUAACUUAUUUAUUUUUAGUAUUGUUUAUUGAAUUAAUUAUAAUUAAUUAUAGUUUAUUAGUACUGUAAAGGAUUUAUUUAUUUAUUUUAUUUAAGCAUUCUUUAUUUGAUUUACCUUUUGUAUCAGGGUUUAUUUAUUUUAUUUAUUUGAUUAAUUUAUUUUCCCGAAAUUAAGAGAUUUAAUAUAUUAUGGAUUUUUACGUUUUAUAGUAAUUUUUAAUUUUAUAUUAGAUGUGAUAUGCUUUUCAUUCUUAAAUAUCUGGUUUCUUAAUAAAUAAUUUUAAUUUAGGCUUAAUUUAGGUUUUAUUUAUUUUUAUUUUAUUUAUUUUUAUUAAGUUGAGAUUAUUGGGGAUUAGCUCAUUAAUUUUUCUAAAAUAUUUAUUUAUUUUAAUAUUUGUGUAGGUUUAAUAACGGCCAUCUUUUUAUUUCGUUAUAGUUUUGAUUUAUUUUUAUUUUAUUUAUUUUUAAUUUAGAUUUUUAUUAAGAUUUUUAUUUUAUUUAUUUUUAUUUAGUAAUAAUGAUUGAAUUAGUAGUUUUGCAUAUUAAAGUAUAGUAACUCGGCAAAUUUUAUUUUCGCCUGUUUAACAAAAACAUGUCCUAUUUGUUUAUUAUAAUAUUAGGUCUAGCCUGCCCUAUGAUAUUAAUUAAAUGGCCGCAGUAUUUUAACUGUGCAAAGGUAGCAUAAUCAUUUGUCUUUUAAUUGAGGGCUCGUAUGAAUGGUUGGACGAGAGAUAAACUUUCUUUAUUUUAAUAUUGAAUGAACUUGAUUUUUUAGUCAGAAAGCUGAAAUUAUUUUGUGGGACGAGAAGACCCUAUAGAAUUUUACUUUUAUUAAGAUAUAUUUAUUAUAUGAUUUUAUUUAUUAAAUUUAUUUUUAAAUAGUUUUGUUGGGGUGACAGUAAGAUUUAUUUAACUCUUAUUCUUUAUUUUUAUCAAUAAUUAUUGUAUAUUUGAUCCUUUAUUAUGGAUUAUAAGAUUAAAUUACCUUAGGGAUAACAGCGUAAUUCUCCUGGAGAGUUCUUAUCGAUGGGUUUAGAGUUUGCGACCUCGAUGUUGGAUUAAAGUUAGAGUUGGGUGCAGCUGCUCAAGUUUCUAGGUCUGUUCGACCUUUUAAUCUUUACAUGAUCUGAGUUCAGACCGGCGUGAGCCAGGUUGGUUUCUAUCUACAAUUAUUAUUUAAGUAUUUUAGUACGAAAGGACCAUAUACUUGUAAUAUUUAUUUUAUUUUUGAUUAAUUUU